AGCAGCCGCGGUAAUUCCAGCUCCAAUAGCGUAUAUUAAAGUUGUUGCAGUUAAAAAGCUCGUAGUUGAAUUUCGGGAUUGACGUGAUGGUCGUGCCUUACGGGGUAUGAACUGUUGCUGUUGAUUUCUCACCUUCUGGAGAAACUUGAUGUCCUUAAUUGGGUGUCUUGCGGAUCCAGGACCUUUACCUUGAAAAAAUUAGAGUGUUUAAAGCAGGCAUUUUUGCUCGAAUACAUUAGCAUGGAAUAAUAGAAUAGGACGGCAUGGUUCUAUUUUGUUGGUUUCUAGGAUCACCGUAAUGAUUAAUAGGGAUAGUUGGGGGGCAUUAGUAUUCAAUUGUCAGAGGUGAAAUUCUUGGAUUUAUUGAAGACUAACUACUGCGAAAGCAUUUGCCAAGGAUGUUUUCAUUAAUCAAGAACGAAAGUUAGGGGAUCGAAGACGAUCAGAUACCGUCGUAGUCUUAACCAUAAACUAUGCCGACUAGGAAUCAGACGAUGUUAAUUUUUUAAUGACUCGUUUG
rnacentral:misc_RNA from 1 species